GUUUAUAGGCAUGAUCAAAUACAGGAUCAGAGUGGAUUUAGAACAAGAAACUUCACACACAUGUUUUGAGGAGCUCUGAGACUUAUUUAAACUGAGGAGAGUAAGUGACCUUUAAAGCUCCUGUGAGGAAUAUUUGUUUUUUGUUGGUUUUGGUGCCCCCUUUGGAGAAAGUAUGCUUCUCAUCUCUUUGCUGAUUUGUCAAAUGACAUCCGACACACAUGACCAGCAUUACAGCCUGUUUGUGGUUCUGCCUGCUGAAACUUUUCCUCAUUAUUAACAAAUAGAGCCACAGUUAAAACACACCAAAAUGCUAUCUCGCAGCUUGACAGAAAAUAUGUCAAUUCAGUGUACACAUGAAGACUUCUUUUUAUUUAGUCAGUUCAGCUCUCUUGUGUACACAGAAUCCACCUAUGUUCUGUCAAGCUGGUACUUCCUGCCAUCACCUGCACCUUUAAGGACUGACAGUGCUGUGCACAGAGCGUCUUCUUUUUACACCCUUUGAGAUGAUUUGCCUUCUCAGAAACGAAGACGUUUAAAUGAACUGUAUGUGCUUUGUCUCUGUUUUGCAGCUCUGCUCACCUGAAGCUUCAGGGGGGCUGAGUCGGUGUGUUUACUUGUUUUCUUUGCUCCCCUUUAGAGACCAGAUCUAAGAUAUUAUUUCUGAUGAAUGCUUUGUUUCUGUUUCCUUUCAUUGGCGUUACCCUCCUGUUACUGCUGGACUCUAAAGAAGCUUUUCACGUUGUUUUCUUCGCCCGUCUCUGUGAAGCACUUUGCUGAGAUUAUUGUGUUUCAAGUGCUUUAGAAAUAAAUUUGACUUUAACUGA